GACGUAGGGUGCGAGCGUUGUCCGGAUUUAUUGGGCGUAAAGAGCUCGUAGGCGGCUCGUCGCGUCGACCGUUAAAACCCGCAGCUUAACUGUGGGCUUGCGGUUGAUACGGGCGGGCUAGAGUUCGGUAGGGGAGACUGGAAUUCCUGGUGUAGCGGUGAAAUGCGCAGAUAUCAGGAAGAACACCCGUGGCGAAGGCGGCUCUCUGGGACGGUACUGACGCUGAGACGCGAAAGCGUGGGGAGCGAACAGG
rnacentral:rRNA from 1 species